rnacentral:rRNA from 1 species
UGGGGAAUAUUGGACAAUGGGCGAAAGCCUGAUCCAGCCAUGCCGCGUGUGUGAAGAAGGUCUUCGGAUUGUAAAGCACUUUAAGUUGGGAGGAAGGGCAUUAACCUAAUACGUUAGUGUUUUGACGUUACCGACAGAAUAAGCACCGGCUAACUCUGUGCCAGCAGCCGCGGUAAUACAGAGGGUGCAAGCGUUAAUCGGAAUUACUGGGCGUAAAGCGCGCGUAGGUGGUUUGUUAAGUUGGAUGUGAAAUCCCCGGGCUCAACCUGGGAACUGCAUUCAAAACUGACUGACUAGAGUAUGGUAGAGGGUGGUGGAAUUUCCUGUGUAGCGGUGAAAUGCGUAGAUAUAGGAAGGAACACCAGUGGCGAAGGCGACCACCUGGACUAAUACUGACACUAAGGUGCGAAAGCGUGGGGAGCAAACA